rnacentral:tRNA from 1 species
CGGGGUGUAGCUCAAUCAGAGCGCCGGUCAUGGGGACCGGAGUGUGGCAGGUUUCAAUCCUCCCACCCCGACCA